AUGAAGAGUAACAAAAAAGAUGAAAGCUUUGCACAAAAGGGUAUCUUAAUUCAUAGCCAAGUUAUGAAGAUCAAGCAAGAAUCUGAGAAAAUCUAUGAUUGGUCAUUUGGUCAAGUCGAAGUAAGACCAGGUUUAAGGGAGAUUUCGCGGCAGAUUUCUCGGUCACCAUUGGGAUUUUCCGGCCAAACAAUUUCAGUUGGGGAUUCAUAG